rfam:TPA: Bos taurus chromosome 27, whole genome shotgun sequence.
UCCCUGGUGGCUCAGAUGGUAAAGAAUCUGCCUGAAAUGCAGGAGAUCUGGGUUCGAUUCCUGGUUGGGAAG